UGAAGCGUGUCCUAUUUUUAAAUUAAACUGGUGACGUUUUAAAGAAACCGUUCUUAUAAUAGGUUAUUUUAUUUAUAUUUACAAUAAAAUUCGAAUAAUUUUUUCUCUCUAUAUUUCUAGUUAUCAAAAUUAUAUGAAUAAAUCGGUAAAUCGAUAGCGUCAUAGAAUUGAAGAAAUACGAUUUUUUUUGUACAGGUUUUGGACCAGUUAUCCGGCGUUCCAGUCUCCGGAAUGCUCAGAAAAUCGGCUCUAUUCCAGAAUAUAAUAAAAGUGUAGAAUUCCUGCACGCGUAACUUCAACAUGGCGACCGUGUUGAGUGCAAAUGUUUCGUUCUUCCAACUUUGUUAAAUUGUCAUUUGUUUGCUAAAUCAGUAAAUUUGUCAUGAAGUCCAAGUAUUCUUGUGCCUUUCCUGGUGGUUAUUUGUUAUAAUUUAUUUUGUAUAGACCAGUACAAUGGGGAAGAUAUAUAUGCCAAUUUCCUGUUCAACUAGCAGCUACUGACUUGCCUGUUACUCUAUAUUAUAGACAUCAUGGCAAAAUCAGAGUGUUUUUUCAAAAAUGUUAAAAUAUUAAAUUCAAAUACUCAAGAAAAACAAAACUCAUUUCUAUAACGUGCAGUGACGUGUGAUUGUGAUACAGAGUGGAGUAAUUUUACCAGCAGUAUUUGUGCCAAUAUUGAAAUGGAACAUCAGCCAAAUAGACCAUCAUGCUUAGCAAAACAAGAUCAAUUUGAAUCAGAAGAAAUAGAUUGUGUGACUUCUCCUGUAAUGAUUCAAAUAGAAGAAGGAAGUGGAGGAAUUCAAGAUGCUUUCGAUCAAGAUGACAACGAUGGUGCAAGAUUUGAUACAGCAGAUGAUGCAAGUAGUGAUGGUGAUGGUCCACAGAAAUCUAGAUCUAAUAAAUCAAGUUCUAGGUAUUCACCUGGACCAGUCCAAGGUGGAAAGCCAGAGAAAA
rnacentral:lncRNA from 1 species